CAGCCUCCUGUUCCUAAGUAAACACCCAGACCUGCUGCAAGGCUCCAGGACCAAGAUGCCCCAAACAGACGGAGCAGGCCCAGAGAACUGAAGGACAGGGAACCACUCGCCACAUAGUGCAUCCUGAAAUAGUUGCAGUUAUUUGCGGAAUUAUCAUCUUUAUGUGGGUUGUGCCUCGGCACGGCUCCUCAGCGCGGAUGAAUCGAAUGUUUGCUGUCAGUCACCACACCGAUGUGGAUACUGUACUUCAGAAUCACAGAUUCUACAUCUUGGAAGUGUGCGGAAACCUACCAGUAUCACCCGAAUUAGAAAACAAUAUUACAAGCUUACCGCUGUGAAUCGGGCUAAGGAGCUGCUCUGUGUAAACACGACUCUGUCGGGCUGCAGCAGCUGAAGGACUCUGCGCAGAACCGCUCGCCGCAGGAGGAUGUAAACCCAUGGAUCCAGAAUCUGGUUCCAGCUAGCCAAGCGCAGAGCCAAGAGAAG